rnacentral:rRNA from 1 species
GAUGAACGCUGGCGGCGUGCCUAAUACAUGCAAGUCGAGCGAACAGACGAGGAGCUUGCUCCUCUGACGUUAGCGGCGGACGGGUGAGUAACACGUGGAUAACCUACCUAUAAGACUGGGAUAACUUCGGGAAACCGGAGCUAAUACCGGAUAAUAUAUUGAACCGCAUGGUUCAAUAGAGAAAGACGGUUUUGCUGUCACUUAUAGAUGGAUCCGCGCCGCAUUAGCUAGUUGGUAAGGUAACGGCUUACCGAGGCAACGAUGCGUAGCCGACCUGAGAGGGUGAUCGGCCACACUGGAACUGAGACACGGUCCAGACUCCUACGGGAGGCAGCAGUAGGGAAUCUUCCGCAAUGGGCGAAAGCCUGACGGAGCAACGCCGCGUGAGUGAUGAAGGUCUUCGGAUCGUAAAACUCUGUUAUUAGGGAAGAACAAAUGUGUAAGUAACUAUGCACGUCUUGACGGUACCUAAUCAGAAAGCCACGGCUAACUACGUG